GCUCGUCCGGUGCCGCCCCGCGAGGGGAUCCGGAGCUGCCCCGGAGAAAGAGUUCGAUGGAACAGCAGACUGACUGAAUGUUUCUCUUCAUAUUUGGAUAAUGGAUAUAUGCUAGGAGUGUACAAGGGACUGUUUCCUGGUCUGAAUAAUUUAUGCCUGAAGGCAUGUUUCUGUAGUAAACCAAAAGUAGCACAGCAAAAGUACUCAUGGGUAAGAGAAAGGAGGAAAGUAUUUCAAAGCCUGGAUCCCAGAAAAGGCGGAGACAAGAAUACACAGAUGAACAUAGUGAUGAGUCUAACGAAGAAGAAAAUUUAGAAUCAUCAGCUGAUGGUAAUGCCUCUUCACAGUUGGUAAGUUGUUUAAACAAGUCUUAGAGG